rnacentral:rRNA from 1 species
UACGUAGGGGGCAAGCGUUAUCCGGAUUUACUGGGUGUAAAGGGAGCGUAGACGGCUGCGCAAGUCAGAAGUGAAAGCCCGGGGCUCAACCGCGGGACUGCUUUUGAAACUGUGAAGCUGGAGUGCAGGAGAGGUAAGCGGAAUUCCUGGUGUAGCGGUGAAAUGCGUAGAUACCAGGAGGAACACCGGCGGCGAAGGCGGCUUACUGGACUGUAACUGACGUUGAGGCUCGAAGGCGUGGGGAGCAAACAGG